rnacentral:rRNA from 1 species
UACGGUGGGGGCAAGCGUUGUUCGGAAUUACUGGGCGUAAAGGGCGCGUAGGCGGUUCAUUAAGUUGGAUGUGAAAACUCUGGGCUUAACUCAGAGCCUGCAUUCAAAACUGAUGGGCUGGAGUUCUGGAGGGGAUAGCGGAAUUCCUGGUGUAGCGGUGAAAUGCGUAGAUAUCAGGAGGAACACCGGUGGCGAAGGCGGCUAUCUGGACAGAAACUGACGCUGAGGCGCGAAAGCUAGGGGAGCAAACAGG